ensembl:lncRNA
AGUCUUUCCGUCAGACUAACCUAACUGUGGAUUGCACGACAGAAGCAUGUUUUCAGCUCAUCAAAGAACUGGCCAAGGAGGUGAAGGAUAUCAGUAAGCAUGCUCAGAAGAGAGUGGUGAUAGAAGAGGUAACUGCAUCACUUCAAUAGCAGCAGGAGUCUCAUUCUGGAGUGGUCCAAGGAGCUGAACCAACUAACCCGGAUCCUCCCAAGCUCUGUCAGGAAGGAUGGGGAGCUUUGCUGCGCAGCUAUUUUCAGGUCUCUCCAGAGAUGUUCUAUCGGGCUCUGGCUGGGCCACUCAAGGACAUUCAAAGACUUGUCACAAAGCCACUCCUGUGUUGCCUUGGCUGUGUGCUAUGGGUCGUUGUCCUGAUGGAAGGUGAACCUUCACCCCAGUCUGAUGUACUGAACGUUCUGGAGCAGGUUUUCAUCAAGGAUCUCUCUGUACUUCUUUGCCUCGAUCCUGACUAGUCUCCCAGUCUCUGCCGCUGAAAAACAUCCCCACAGCAUGAUGCUGCCACCACAAUGUUUCACCGUAGUGAUGGUGCCAGGUUUCCUCCAGAUGUAAUGCUUGGCAUUCAGGCCAAAGAGUUCAGUAUUGGUUUCAUCAGACCAGAGAAUCUUGUUUCUCAUGGUCUGAGAGCCCUUUGGGUUCCUUUUGGCAAACUCCAAGCAGGCUGUCGUGAGGAGUGGCUUCCGUCUGGCUACUCUAUCAUAAAGGCCUGAUUUGUGGAGUGCUGCAGAGAUGGUUUGUUGCUAAUGUUUCUUUGCUACCUGCCAACUUUACAGUUUUUACCUUUUUUAAUUACCGUUUUAUAUUUUUCAUUCAACUUUUUCCCCCGGGACGCUUUAUCUGGACAUGGUUCUACACGAUCUCCACCAGCCGAAGCUAAGUAGUAACUGACUCGUUGCUUAAUGGGGAGAUGCCUUCAUCAUUGCAAUCUACAGGAGAACGAGGAUAGCUGUGCUGCAAGCCCAACUUCAGACGCAAUCGUAAUUUUAAGUGUAGGAAGGGAUGAAACGGCGUCUGUACCACCAAUAAGUACAGAUACUAGUAUAAAUCCCCUCGCAGCCGGACAAUUUUCUCAUGGCUUCUGGAAGGAAAUGCUAAACCGGUGUCGCUCAUUCAGCUGACAGAAACUUUCAACCGGUUCUCCCCUUUAAGCAACGAGUCAGUCAGUCUUCUCUGUCCUCCACCCGUUAUGGGGUCUGAGACGCCGAAGCCUCUCACCAUUGCUCUGACAAAUUGAACAACCUAGUCGUCAGCGACUCCAUUUUUUAAUUUUAUUUUAACCUUUAUUUGUCAGUUAAGAACAAAUUCUUAUUUACAAUGACGGCCUAGGAACAGUGGGUUAACUGCCUGUUCAGGGGCAGAACGACAGAUUUGUACCUUGUCAGCUCAGGGGUUUGAACUUGCAACCUUCCGGUUACUAGUCCAACGCUCUAACCACUAGGCUACCCUGCCGCCCCACAUUACCCGUAUUACACUUCAGUGAUGAGCUCUACAGCAGAGUCUCACGACUCAAUCGCUGGUUGAAACUGUUUUCUUUUCUUUUGUAAAAAAAAUGUUUUUUCCCUUUUUCUCCCCAAUUUUGUGGUAUCCAAUUGAUUUAGUAGCUAUUAUCUUGUCUCAUCGCUACAACUCCCAUACGGGCUCGGGGGAGACAAAGGUUGAAAGUCAUGCGUCCUCCGAUACACAACCCAACCAAGCCGCACAGCGCGCAUCCAACCCGGAAGCCAGCCGCACCAAUGUGUCGGAGGAAAAACAGUGCAUCUGGCAACCUUGGUUAGCGUGCACUCCGCCCGACCCGCCACAGGAGUCGCUGGUGCGCGAUGAGACAAGGAUAUCCCUACCGGCCAAGCCCUCCCUAACCCGGAUGACGCUAGGCCAAUUGUGCGGACCUCCCGGUCGUGGCCGGUUGCGACAGAGCCUGGUCGCGAACCCAGGGUCUCUGGUGGCACAGCUGGCGCUGCAGUACAGCGCCCUUAACCACUGCGCCACCCGAGAGGCCCUGAAAACUGUUUUCUGCCCCUCUCAAAAGAUAGAAUUAUUAGAUAAUUGGCCCUCUUUCUGGGACUCACCCACAAACGAGACCAAGCCUGGCUUGCUAAGGAGUGACGGAGGGUUGCUCUCAUCUUAUCUAUGAACAUAGACAGGGCUCUAACUCCUCUAGCUCCACAAUGAGAUAGGAUGCAGGCCGGGCUGCAGCCUGUUAGCCACCCUGCCAGCUGUGGAGUGCUAGUGGAGUCUGCCACUAGCACAGUCAGUGUAGUCAGCUCAGCUAUCCCCAUUGAGACCGUGUCUGUGCCUCGAUCUAGGUUGGGCAAAACUAAACAUGGCGGUGUUCGCCUUAGCAAUCACACUGGAAUAAAGACCUCCUCCAUUCCUGUCAUUAUUGAAAGAGAUUGUGAUAUCUCACGUCUCAAAAUAGGGCUACUUAAUGUUAGAUCCCUCACUUCCAAGGCAGUUAUAGUCAAGACGUUUGUGUUUUUAAUGUAAAAUGUUUUUGUUGUACUGUAUGUGUGUUUAUAGUUUUGUUUAAUGUUUUGUUAGUGUAUGUAAGUUGUUUUGUCUGAAACAUUGUUCCCUCUGUUGCUAUUGGACCAGGUCUCUCUUGGAAAGAGAUGUUAUCUCAAUGAGAAAAAACCUGUAUAAAUGAAAAUUUAAAAUAAAAAUUGACUGAAGUGUUUCCUUAAUUUAGUCAGUUAUCUGUACAUUUAUGGAAAAUAUAUUUGAAUAUUAUUCCAAUGUAGACCUUUUUAGAGGCACUUUUUUAAAAUCUAUUUCAAUAGUACUCUUAUUAGCCUUUUUAAUCACUGUGAGUUCUAGAGUAGACCCAUGUUAUAAUAUCAAAACGUAAAAAUAAACAAAGUUUUUAAAAUUUUGGCACAAUUCAUCUUUAGUUUGGGAUGGUUUAAAUUAGACUUUGCGACAAUUCUGAUUUGAUUUAUUAGGAUCCCCAUUAGCUGACGCCAAUGGCAACAGCUAGUCUUACUGGGGUACAACACAUAAUUAAAAAAACAUUAUAGACAAAAUACUUUACAAUUGACAUACACUUAAGAACAUGAACAUUUAGUGUGUGUGUGUGUGUACAUCUGUCAUUUACACAUGCAUGUCCGUACAUACACACAACAAGUAGGUCACAUGGGGGAGAGGUGUUGUGCUGUGAAGUGUUGCUUUAUUUGUUUUUUGAAACCAGGUUUGCUGUUCACUUGUGCUAUAUAAGAUGGAAGGGAGUUCCAUGAACUCAUGGCCCUGUAUAAUACUGUAUGUUUUCUUGAAUUUGUUCUGGAACUGUGAAAAUGUCUGGUGGGGUAAGUGUGUGUCAGUGCUGUGUGUAACUAUGCAAACAAUUUGGAAUUUCCAAAACAUUAAUGUUUCUUAUAAAAACAACAAGUGACACAGUCAGUCUUUACUCAACUCUCAGCUAAUAGAGACUGACAUGCAUGGUAUUAAUAUUAGCCCUCUGAUUACAGUGAAGCGCACGACAUGCCACUCAGUUCUGGGCCAGCUACAGCUUAACUAGGUCUUUCUUUGCAGCACUUGAUCAUUUGACUGGACAAUAAUCCUGAUAAUAUAAAACUAGAGCCUGCAGGACUUGCUUUGUGGAAUAUGGUGUCAAAAAAGCAGAACAUCUCUUUAUAGACAGAUCUCUCCCCUAUAUUCAGGAGUGC